UUCGUCUGUGCAUCAGUUCGUCCGUUCGUCCGUCUGUGCGUCCGUCCGUUCAGGUUAAAGUUUUUGGUCAAGGUAGUUUUGAUGAAGCUGAAGUCCAAUCAACUUGAAACUUAGUAGACUUGUUGCUUAUGAUAUGAUCUUUCUAAUUUUAAAGCCAAAUUAGACUUUUGACCCCAAUUUCACGGUCCACUAAACAUAGAAAAUGAAAGUGGGAGUUUCAGGUUAAAGUUUUUGGUCAAGGUAGUUUUUGAUAUAAUUGAAGUCCAAUCAACUUGAAACUUAGUACAUAUGAUCCCUAUAGUAUAAUCUUUCUAAUUUUAAUACCAACUUAGAUUAUUACCCAAUUUCACGGUCCAUGGAACAUGGAAAAGGAUAGUGCGAGUGGGGCAUCCGUGUACUUUGGACACAUUCUUGUUUAUAUAU
rnacentral:lncRNA from 1 species